CAGCCAAUGACUUAAAACAUUUAAGUGCAUAUAUCUUGCCACAAGACAUGUGCGCUAAGCUAGCCAAAUGAGUUUCUGUUAGCGAAUCAAGUUCAAGCUCCUCACAUAUCAUCAUCCAGGGUACAGUCAUAUGCUCAUGAGGAGAUCCCACGCAGGUGAAGGUGCUGCCCACCCAUGAUACCAGCAAGGUGCGUGCAAGUGGAUCCGGCCUUAACACCACUGGAGCGCCCACCUCUCUGCCAGUGAAGGUCACCAUUGAUGCCAAAGAUGCAGGACCCAGAGGGGAAGCCCAAGAAGCAGAUAUCUGUGACAGCCAUGAUGGGACCUACCUGGUGUUUUAUGUGCCAGACAUGACUGACAGAUACACCACUCUCAUUAAGUACGGAGGAGACAAGAUCCCUUAUUCACCCUACUGAAUCAGGGCUCUGCCCACCGGAGAUGCCAGCAAGUGCACUGUCACUGAAUGUUGUCCAGUGGCCAGCUGCUCGGUCCAUCCAGACUCCCCUCGAUAUACAACAGUG